rnacentral:rRNA from 1 species
AGUGAACGCUGGCGGUAGGCCUAACACAUGCAAGUCGAACGGCAGCACAGUAAGAGCUUGCUCUUACGGGUGGCGAGUGGCGGACGGGUGAGGAAUACAUCGGAAUCUACUUUUUCGUGGGGGAUAACGUAGGGAAACUUACGCUAAUACCGCAUACGACCUACGGGUGAAAGCAGGGGAUCUUCGGACCUUGCGCGAUUGAAUGAGCCGAUGUCGGAUUAGCUAGUUGGCGGGGUAAAGGCCCACCAAGGCGACGAUCCGUAGCUGGUCUGAGAGGAUGAUAAGCCACACUGGAACUGAGACACGGUCCAGACUCCUACGGGAGGCAGCAGUGGGGAAUAUUGGACAAUGGGCGCAAGCCUGAUCCAGCCAUACCGCGUGGGUGAAGAAGGCCUUCGGGUUGUAAAGCCCUUUUGUUGGGAAAGAAAAGCAGCAGGUUAAUACCCCGCUGUUCUGACGGUACCCAAAGAAUAAGCACCGGCUAACGUCGUG